AUGCUAUCCUCGUACUCUCUACUAUCGUCAUAGAACGCCAAGUAGCCGUCUCCCUUAAUUAGCAUACUGAGCCAAUAAGGCAUUUUGUAUAUUUUUGCGCCUAUCAGAAAAAAAACCUUGGUUUUUAGAAGAACACCUAUUUGAGGUAGACAGAAAAAUCGACGUCCGCUGCUGGACGACAGGACUGCAAAUUAACAGAUAAAUAUUAUUUGUAACGCGUUUAAUCUUCUUGUCCACGCAUAGUAGGAUAUCUCUAUUCGAAUAAACGACGAAUAUUACAAUGUGGAAAUUUGACCAGCUGUGUGGUGCUAAACCGUAAAACCACCAAUAAAGUACCCGCCACUAAAAAUUAGCAGACGAUUUUGGGGUAGUCUUGUCGAUUUCAUCAAAGCGGAAGCGCAUGAGAUUUAUAUCCUAUGUGAUAACGUAUUGAUCAGUAACUAUUGGCUCGAGCCCUGUCUAGCGAUAGCGGUUCUUUCCGAGGUGUAUGGUAUACUGCCCUGGAGCAAACGAGAUUGCGGGCUUCUGCUUUCCACCAUGUCAUUGUCUAGUUUCAGCUAAUUUCACCUUCGUGUAUGCGCUACAAGGGAAGCAGGUAACACCCUCGUAAACGUCCUAAUGCUCGACUUCGCUUCGUGAAAGGCUCUCAUAACACACGAACCUACCGAACUAUAGUCUUUAGACCUUCACACUCAGACUGACCGAAGUUGUAUAACCUUUAUUACUCAGUACAUCUUUUUUUCUCAUUCUGUUACUGGCACUCGAGCUGCCGCUACCACUGUCGCCGCCAUGACCAGCACCUGCAAAGUGAUACGGAAAAGUUACAACGACUGUGGCUAACUAUGCAGCGUGUAGAUCUGGUACACAAACAAUGUUGUCGCUCACUUUCCGGGAGACAGCUUUGGCUUCCCGUACUUGUCAGAAGCUAAGCGAUAUUUUCAAGGACAAAAAGCGUAUCCAUUGUUUAGUGGUGCAUCUACUCAACAGCCUGGGCGCGACAGGCAACUGCGGUGGCUCGGUGAGCGCGCGAGUCAUUGGCUCGGGCUUGCAGAAAUGUCAUCGAUGUCAUAUUGACGGACUGCGAACGCUCAAAGGGAGCAAGAAAUAGAGAUAGUGACAUUUCCCUACUACACUUUUCCCGAACUCGAAAAAUGGUGGCUGCCAUCGCGUGGACUAGUUCACCAAAUGACGACUGGUGAUCGGUUGUCCUUAUUCCAUUGCGCUGCCCCUUGUACCUUUCUUCGCAUCACAUAACGUAGCAAUAAUUGGCUAGAGACGACUCCCUGGGCCGGCCAAGAAAUGCAGCAGAGCUGUUGGCCGGAAGUGAUAUAUCAUGACCGAGGGCAGACGACAAACCAGAUUGACAAGACCGGAAAUGAUUACACCUACCAGUAGGAACACGAUUUCUAAGAUGACUAAAAAGAAGGAGAGAAAGCGCGUAUUUAAGC